rnacentral:rRNA from 1 species
UACGAAGGGGGCUAGCGUUGUUCGGAUUUACUGGGCGUAAAGCGCACGUAGGCGGAUCGAUCAGUCAGGGGUGAAAUCCUGGAGCUCAACUCCAGAACUGCCUUUGAUACUGGCGAUCUCGAGUCCGGGAGAGGUGAGUGGAACUGCGAGUGUAGAGGUGAAAUUCGUAGAUAUUCGCAAGAACACCAGUGGCGAAGGCGGCUCACUGGCCCGGUACUGACGCUGAGGUGCGAAAAGCGUGGGGAGGCAAACAGGAUUAGA